AGCAGCCGCGGUAAUUCCAGCUCCAAUAGCGUAUAUUAGAGUUGUUGCAGUUAAAAAGCUCGUAGUUGAAUUUCGGGAUUUACACAUCGGUCGUGCCUUAAGGGGUAUGAACUGGUGUAGUCAAUUUCUCACCUUCUGGAGAACCGCGAUGCCCUUAAUUGGGUGUCACGGGGAACCAGGACCUUUACUUUGAAGAAUUAGAGUGUUUAAAGCAGGCAUUUUGCUUGAAUACAUUAGCAUGGAAUAAUAAAAUAGGACGGCAUGAUUCUAUUUUGUUGGUUUCUAGGAUCACCGUAAUGAUUAAUAGGGAUAGUUGGGGGCAUUAGUAUUCAAUUGUCAGAGGUGAAAUUCUUGGAUUUAUUGAAGACUAACUACUGCGAAAGCAUUUGCCAAGGAUGUUUUCAUUAAUCAAGAACGAAAGUUAGGGGAUCGAAGACGAUCAGAUACCGUCGUAGUCUUAACCAUAAACUAUGCCGACUAGGAAUCAGACGAUGUUAAUUUUUUAAUGACUCG
rnacentral:rRNA from 1 species